rnacentral:rRNA from 1 species
UGGGGAAUUUUGGACAAUGGGCGAAAGCCUGAUCCAGCAAUGCCGCGUGCAGGAAGAAGGCCUUCGGGUUGUAAACUGCUUUUGUACGGAACGAAAAGGCUCUUUCUAAUAAAGAGGGCCCAUGACGGUACCGUAAGAAUAAGCACCGGCUAACUACGUGCCAGCAGCCGCGGUAAUACGUAGGGUGCGAGCGUUAAUCGGAAUUACUGGGCGUAAAGCGUGCGCAGGCGGUUCUAUAAGACAGAUGUGAAAUCCCCGGGCUCAACCUGGGAACUGCAUUUGUGACUGUAUAGCUAGAGUACGGUAGAGGGGGAUGGAAUUCCGCGUGUAGCAGUGAAAUGCGUAGAUAUGCGGAGGAACACCGAUGGCGAAGGCAAUCCCCUGGACCUGUACUGACGCUCAUGCACGAAAGCGUGGGGAGCAAACAGGAUUAGAUACCCCCGUAGUCCCUGAGCGGGCUGGCAAGGCGCAU